AAUCCCUCCUGGGAAACUAUACUGAAUCUUUACCUGUAAGUGGUUAAGAAGCUCAAAUAACCUGGUUGGCACCUGACCAAAAGGACCAAUAAGGAAAGAAGAUACUUUCAAAUCCGGAGGGUUGGGGGGAAGUUUUGUUUGUGCUCUCUUUGUUUUUUUCCCCUCUCCGGAUGGAGAGAGAGACUAGGCAGGGACAACAUCUCCUGAAAACAUACCUGAAAUGAUUCAUCUAAGAUUACAAAAAUUGUGGAUAUGGGCUAUUUCAUUUUUGUUCGUUUCAGGUGAAUUUCAUGCUGGUCGACAAGGAGCCCAGCCGUCAACAGAAAUCAGAAGCCAAGCGAAGACUGCAAGUGUUGCUGUGAGUGACUGCAUGAUGUGAUGGAUGGAAGUGGAAACAUAUCCAUUUGCCUGCUGUGUUUCCAGAGGGUACAGCAACAGUUAAGUUGCCUUCAGCAAGAGGGCCCAGAUGAUGAAAGCACUUGAGCGUGGACUUAAGCCCAGGCUUACAGAGACAUUAUUAAAUGAACAUCCCUCCUUACUUCUAAUCUGCAAAUGCAGUUUUGACCAGUGAAGGAGACAUCUUAAUUUUUACUGGAGACAUUCUUGACACUGCCACAACCACAACACUACAAUCCAGACUUCCAGAUUCUA